rnacentral:rRNA from 1 species
GCUGAGCUUAGACCCGCCUGUGGUUCUCUACAAACACUUAUAGUAUUUAGAAUGUAAACCUGCGUAUAAUAACGCAUCUUAUACAACUUUCAGCAACGGAUCUCUUGGCUCUCGCAUCGAUGAAGAACGCAGCGAAAUGCGAUAAGUAAUGUGAAUUGCAGAAUUCAGUGAAUCAUCGAAUCUUUGAACGCACCUUGCGCUCCUUGGUAUUCCGAGGAGCAUGCCUGUUUGAGUGUCAUGGUAUUCUCAAUUCCCUAAAUCUUUGCGGAUUUGGGUGAAUUGGAUGUGGAGGUGAUUGCUGGCGUGCGUUUUUUAAAUGGCGUGCCGGCUCCUCUGAAAUGAAUUAGCGGGAAUGUUGCCGUGUCAACCUCAGUGUGAUAAUUAUCUGCGCUGUUGUUGCUCAGCAAAAAUAUAUGUUCUCGCUUCGAAUCGUCUUUGGACAAUUUCUUGACAAUCUGACCUCAAAUCAGGUAGGACUACCCGCUGAACU